rnacentral:rRNA from 1 species
CAGUAGCCGCGGUAAUACAGAGGGUGCGAGCGUUAAUCGGAUUUACUGGGCGUAAAGCGUGCGCAGGCGGUUAUAUAAGACAGAUGUGAAAUCCCCGGGCUCAACCUUGGAACUGCAUUUGUGACUGUAUAGCUAGAGUACGGCAGAGGGGGAUGGAAUUCCGCGUGUAGCAGUGAAAUGCGUAGAUAUGCGGAGGAACACCGAUGGCGAAGGCAAUCCCCUGGGCCUGUACUGACGCUCAUGCACGAAAGCGUGGGGAGCAAACAGGAUUAGAUACCCCAGUAGUCCCUGUCUCUUAUAC